rnacentral:sRNA from 1 species
AGCGGACUGCUCGAGCUGC